rnacentral:rRNA from 1 species
CUCUGUUGUAAGGGAAGAACAAGUACAGUAGUAACUGGCUGUACCUUGACGGUACCUUAUUAGAAAGCCACGGCUAACUACGUGCCAGCAGCCGCGGUAAUACGUAGGUGGCAAGCGUUGUCCGGAAUUAUUGGGCGUAAAGCGCGCGCAGGCGGUCCUUUAAGUCUGAUGUGAAAGCCCACGGCUCAACCGUGGAGGGUCAUUGGAAACUGGGGGACUUGAGUGCAGAAGAGGAAAGUGGAAUUCCAAGUGUAGCGGUGAAAUGCGUAGAGAUUUGGAGGAACACCAGUGGCGAAGGCGACUUUCUGGUCUGUAACUGACGCUGAGGCGCGAAAGCGUGGGGAGCAAACAGGAUUAGAUACCCUGGUAGUCCACGCCGUAAACGAUGAGUGCUAAGUGUUAGGGGGUUUCCGCCCCUUAGUGCUGCAGCU